UAGGGGGCAAGCGUUAUCCGGAUUUACUGGGUGUAAAGGGAGCGUAGGCGGCAAGGUAAGCCAGAAGUGAAAGCCCGCGGCUCAACUGCGGGACUGCUUUUGGAACUAUCUAGCUAGAUUGCAGGAGAGGUAAGUGGAAUUCCUAGUGUAGCGGUGAAAUGCGUAGAUAUUAGGAGGAACACCAGUGGCGAAGGCGGCUUACUGGACUGUAAAUGACGCUGAGGCUCGAAAGCGUGGGGAGCAAA
rnacentral:rRNA from 1 species